GAAGGGGGCUAGCGUUUGCUCGGAAUCACUGGGCGUAAAGGGCGCGUAGGCGGCCGAUUAAGUCGGGGGUGAAAGCCUGUGGCUCAACCCACAGAAUUGCCUUCGAUACUGGUUGGCUUGAGACCGGAAGAGGACAGCGGAACUGCGAGUGUAGAGGUGAAAUUCGUAGAUAUUCGCAAGAACACCAGUGGCGAAGGCGGCUGUCUGGUCCGGUUCUGACGCUGAGGCGCGAAAGCGUGGGGAGCAAACAGGGAUUAGAUACCCUGGUAGUCCACGCCGUAAACGAUGAAUGCCCAGCCCGUUGGCCCUGCUUGCAGGUCAGUGGCGCCGCUAACCGCAUUAAGCAUUCCCGCCCUGGGAGUACGGUCGCAAGAUUA
rnacentral:rRNA from 1 species